rnacentral:rRNA from 1 species
GCAGAACAAUUCAACUUUCUAGUUAUCGUAAUAAGGUAUCUACACCUGCAAUACAUAGGGUGUUAGAAGCGAACCUGGGGAACUGAAACAUCUAAGUACCCAGAGGAAAGGACAUCAAACGAGACUCCGCUAGUAGUGGCGAGCGAACGCGGACCAGGCCAGUGGCUUUUGUGAGUAAAGUGGAACAAUUUGGAAAAGUUGGCUAAAGUGGGUGAUAGCCCCGUACACGUAAAGUGAAAUUAAGUCCUUGAGUAGGGCGGGACACGUGAAAUCCUGUCUGAACAUGGGUCGACCACGAUCCAAGCCUAAGUACUCGUGCAUGACCGAUAGCGAACCAGUACCGUGAGGGAAAGGUGAAAAGCACCCCGACGAGGGGAGUGAAAUAGUACCUGAAACCGAAUGCCUACAAACAGUUGGAGCCCAAGGUUCGUCCUGGGUGACAGCGUACCUUUUGUAUAAUGGGUCAGCGACUUAGUCUGACGAGCAAGCUUAAGCCGGUAGGUGUAGGCGCAGCGAAAGCGAGUCUGAACAGGGCGUUCAGUUCGUCGGAUUAGACCCGAAACCAAGUGAUCUAGCCAUGAGCAGGUUGAAGGUACGGUAACACGUACUGGAGGACCGAACCCAUAUCUGUUGCAAUAGAUCGGGAUGACUUGUGGCUAGGGGUGAAAGGCCAAUCAAACUUGGAGAUAGCUGGUUCUCCGCGAA